rnacentral:rRNA from 1 species
GACGAACGCUGGCGGCGUGCUUAACACAUGCAAGUCGAACGGUACUUAUCCGAUAGUAAUAUUGGGUAAGUAUAGUGGCGGACGGGUGAGUAACGCGUGAGCAAUCUACCUUAGAGUGGGGGACAACAUUCGGAAACGGAUGCUAAUACCGCAUAAGACCACAGCGGCACAUGCCGCGGGGGUCAAAGGAGAAAUCCGCUUUAAGAUGAGCUCGCGUCCCAUUAGCUAGUUGGUGAGGUAACGGCCCACCAAGGCGACGAUGGGUAGCCGACCUGAGAGGGUGAUCGGCCACACUGGAACUGAGACACGGUCCAGACUCCUACGGGAGGCAGCAGUGGGGAAUAUUGGGCAAUGGGCGAAAGCCUGACCCAGCAACGCCGCGUGAUUGAAGAAGGCUUUCGGGUUGUAAAAAUCUGUCCUUGGGGACGAAAAAAAUGACGGUACCCAAGGAGGAAGCCCCGGCUAACUACGUGCCAGCAGCCGCGGUAA